CUCCCAGGUCCCGCUUCCCGCAGCGGGCAGGAUGGGAACCGGGCGCUUUUACUUUCAUUCUAAGUGGAAAACUGAAAAGAAAAGAAAUGCAAAACUGGGAAUUUCCGCGGCCGUCACCGCGGGUUUAAAAGGGCACCAGGAGGCAACUCGCAGGCACAGGAGGAGAGGCGGCGGGGUCGUCAGCUUGGAGACGCCCUCCUGGCCCUGGCCACCUCAAUCCUGUCUGUUAUCAGUGAUGCACUAGCAUUUGGAGCCUCCAUACCAAGAGAAGCUUACAAGCCUGGCCUCAUCCUGGCCCAGCUUUGCUAGAUCCUCACAGAGCUAAACAGGCUGACAUAAAACAUGGGUCUUGAUUCGAAGCCAUGUUCUUCUUGCCAGCUGGACUGACUUUUGGAAAGAGCACAGUCACUUGGAAGGUCAAAUACUGUAACUUCAGCCAUAUCACAUUAUUUUAAUCAAAAAAAGGUGAAGGCUCAAAAAUAAAACAUUGCAAUAUAAUAUAAACCA